GCAUAUCAAUAAGCGGAGGAAAAGAAAAUAACAAUGAUUCCCCUAGUAACUGCGAGUGAAGAGGGACAAGCUCAAAUUUUAAAUCUAUCGGGUUUUACCUGAUCGAGUUGUAAUUUGAAGAAGCGUUUUCUGCGUAUUUGGUCAGCCUAAGUCCUAUUGAAUGAGGCAUCAUGGAGGGUGAUAAUCCCGUCCGGUUGAUCAUUUGCGUUUUACGAUACGCUUUCUAAGAGUCAAGUUGUUUGGGAUUGCAGCUUAAAAUGGGAGGUAAAUUUCUCCUAAGGCUAAAUAACGGCGAGAGACCGAUAGCGAACAAGUACCGUGAGGGAAAGAUGAAAAGAACUUUGAAAAGAGAGUUAAACAGUACGUGAAAUUGUUGAAAGGGAAACGAUUGAAGCCAGUCGUACCUUCGGGUAAUCAGCCUUUCGGGUGCGAUUAUGUGGAGUGUGAGGAGCUUAAGCACCUUCAUGCUUUGCAUAUUCGUGCUCUUGGGUGUACUUGCCCGUGUGGUUGGUUAACAUCAAUUUCGGGCACCAUAAAAUGGCUGGAGGAAUGUAGCUUCGAUCUUGUAUUGAAGUGUUAUAGCCUUCGGUAGAUGUGGUGAUCGAGAUUGAGGAUUGCAACGGAUACCUUUCGGGGCUACCUGUCUGAUCUCUGAUCGUUGCUUUGGUGCUGAAAGCGUGCUUAUAGUUAUCAAAGUCGAUGGUUAAUAGGUUAGAAUGGGUUAAAUUCGUUAAGGAUGUUGACGUAAUGGCUUUAAACGAC
rnacentral:rRNA from 1 species